GUGCUCGUGAUGGAACGGUAGACAUGCCGCGCUCAGAACGCGGUGCCGGCGACGGCGUGGGGGUUCGACUCCCUCCGAGCACACCA
rnacentral:tRNA from 1 species